rnacentral:sRNA from 1 species
CGAGCGAAGCGAGAGAACGUUGCGUUAGCAACGGCCCGCAGGGCGAGCCACGCAGCGGCGAGUCAUCCUCUAUCACCGGCAG